GAGGGUAUAGCUCAAUUGAUAGAGUGCCUGCUUACCAUGCAGGAGCUCCUGGGUUCAAUUCCCAGUACCUCUA